rnacentral:rRNA from 1 species
CGGGGUGAGUAACACGUGGAUAACCUACCUAUAAGACUGGGAUAACUUCGGGAAACCGGAGCUAAUACCGGAUAAUAUAUUGAACCGCAUGGUUCAAUAGUGAAAGACGGUUUUGCUGUCACUUAUAGAUGGAUCCGCGCCGCAUUAGCUAGUUGGUAAGGUAACGGCUUACCAAGGCAACGAUGCGUAGCCGACCUGAGAGGGUGAUCGGCCACACUGGAACUGAGACACGGUCCAGACUCCUACGGGAGGCAGCAGCA